rnacentral:rRNA from 1 species
CUCGUAGGCGGUUCGUCGCGUCCGGUGUGAAAGUCCAUCGCUUAACGGUGGAUCCGCGCCGGGUACGGGCGGGCUUGAGUGCGGUAGGGGAGACUGGAAUUCCCGGUGUAGCGGUGGAAUGUGUAGAUAUCGGGAAGAACACCAAUGGCGAAGGCAGGUCUCUGGGCCGUCACUGACGCUGAGGAGCGAAAGCGUGGGGAGCGAACA